rnacentral:lncRNA from 1 species
AUCUCCGCAUCGCGAUGCUACUUUCGUAGGGGAGAGCAGUCAGUCCCCACCAAGGUGAGUAUAAGGGCUUUUUUUGGGGGGUAAUUUCGCUUCGUUCAUCUUCAAGUGCCGACAGUUUCUAUUCCCGAGUGUGAAAAGCCAGUACUGGAUAGACGGUUUAGAUACGUCACUGAGUGCCCCAUGGGUCAUCUUGUUUCCUAUUCAUUGGAAGCUACAUAAAGCAUCCCUAUAUUAAGAUGAAGUAAGAAAGCAUCAGUCCUCUUAUUUUCUGUCUUCUAUGAAAGAAUGUAGCUCGCUCUUUCAACCCGGGGCCCCCUCUGGGGAACUGUUUGAGUU